rnacentral:rRNA from 1 species
UACGGGAGGCAGCAGUGGGGAAUAUUGGACAAUGGGCGCAAGCCUGAUCCAGCAAUGCCGCGUGUGUGAAGAAGGCCUUAGGGUUGUAAAGCACUUUCAAUAGGGAGGAAAAGUUAUGCGUUAAUAGCGUAUAGCCGU